rnacentral:lncRNA from 1 species
CAGGAAAGUGCUUCCAACUUUCAAAUCAAGAGAACAUUUUAGCAUUUCCUAAGCUCUGUGUGCAUGCCUAAGCUGCCAUGAAUAGGAAUGAAUGUAAGUAGUUUCAUAAAGUAGAAACAUGGAAAAAAAUGGCAAUGGUGCAACUGUGGCUACACGUAGCUAAUUGCUGUGGGGUUUUUUUGCUAUUAGUAUAGAAAGAAAUACUGCCCUGCUGAUGUGUGAAAGUGUCGAUAUGUUGUGGGCUGGGCUUGACUUAUUCAGGUAUUACUCUCCACAGCUGCAACGUCUCUGAAUGAAAAUUGAAGUCCAGGUCAAUAUUGUUACCUGCUGACUGCUUGUCUUUCUAUAAGAAAAAAAUUAUCUGCCUGCAAAACUACGUUUUUUUGCACAGUAUUGGUAAUGAGUUUAAUGACUUGAAUUUUAUUUUCUUUUUCUAUCAGCUG